UGGAGGUGGAAGAGCCAAAAUAAUUGAUGCAUCAAUAAGCCGAUCAUACUUAUAGAAAUAUUUCUAAAUCUACACAUUAAAAAAGAAUAUGAGAUUGCUCAAUAAUAAUAAUGAUGAAGAAUACCAGAGGAUGUUUUCUAUAUUUAGUGAAUAGGUGUUAAAUGUUGGUGAUGAAAAAAUAUCAACAUAUAAAUUUUGUGACGAGAAAGGAAAACUGAAUUGGAUUAAAAUUUUGGAUACUUUUAUUGUAAAGACAGAUGGAGAUCAUAUGGAACAUAUUAUUUCACAAGUCUAUAAAAAUUUCAAAGAAAAUUAUAAGGACCCCAUAUAUUUAAAGGAACGAGC
rnacentral:lncRNA from 1 species